UGCUAUUGACAUUUGUUACUUUAGAUCAGCUGAAAUUUCCUUACUAACCGAAUGGAUUGUUCGUUAAAUUUUGAUUUCCUACAUAGGUGUAGAUUUUGAUUAGUGGAUGUGAAAAGUGCAGGAAAAUUUAUGAGAAGUAAAGGAGUAUUUGUUGCGGUCAAAUUGAACUCUACAAACAUCGAACACUUGAUUUGGGGAUGCUAGGAUUGAUAGUCACGGACUCUUGCUCAUAAAAACUAAACCAAUAGGGGAAAAAAUAAAAAAUAAACUCCCGUUUUUUAAAACUUAACUUGUGUUGAAGCAUAUAUACCGUCUAACGUCAACAACUCAUGGGCUUUAGCUUUUCAAAGCCUAACUACAAGCUGCAUAUGAUAGGAAGUGUUGUAUAUGUUAGACUUAACAUAUUAGCCUAUUAGGUAUGAUCCCGAAGAACAUUUUGGCUUGUGCACUUUUGUUUUUGUUUGUCUAGAAAUUGUAAUGGGAUGCAUAUGUUUCCAACACUAACGUUGCUUUCCUUUUGGUAAUCUCAACCAGUGCCCUAUCUAUAACAUUUUACCUUGAGUCGUCGUUGAGGCAGUGCAUGCUUGUAUUUUCAUGCAAAAAAAUGCUAUUUUGGUUACCCAUAUUACAAUAAGGCAGACCAAACCCAGGUUCAGGCCAAGCCAAGACUUAAGAGUGGGUGCAGACUGCCCAAAGUACAGCGAACAAGGCCUAUGGCAAGGCAGCUGAUUCUAAGGACGAGGCCCAACAACGGAAAGAGCAGAUUGCCAGAAUCAUCCACCAGUUUUCAAGAAACAACAAAAGAGCCAUACCAUGUGAACUGAAUAAAGAUUAGAAAAUACCUAUUGUAAUUAAUUGGUUGUUCCUUGUGUCAAUGUUGCUUUCUUUGUUUUGGAAGAGAAGUAUUACUUCUGGUUUGGCCAACAAGAAAAAAACUUUACUUAGGAAUUACUGCCUAGCAAAUAAACAUUUAUGUCAUCACAAUUGCGGUCCAUCCAGGGGUGAGCGGAUUAGUUGGGGUAUUGUAUGUUAUAUUGUUUGUCAUGUUCUAUUUCGCUCCACCCCUUUCAUUUACAUGUUGAGUAUUUCAUAUUUGAGAAUAGGUUUGAUGGGGGAAAAAAUUAAGAUAAUUUUUGGUGAUAGGGCUCCAUUGGAUUACUCGGCAUAAUCAUAGUCCUAGAGAGCUCCUUUAGUACUAAUUCAUUUAGGGCUCGGCAUAGAAAUGUUAGUAAGGAUUAUUGCACGAUAGUGCAGAAUUGAACUUGCUUACAAGUUUGAGUAUGUGAGUGUAAUUGCUACAUACGUUAAAAUUAUUACCAUUGUGCAAGGCAUUUGUCCUGGAUUGAAAUCAUUUUUUUUAAACUUAAACACGGUGGUUUAAAGCAGGAGGACAAGAAACGCAUCCAGGGAAAAGAGUUGACCAUUUGCUCUCAUACUUGUAGAAGCAGCAAACAACCAAUAGUCAUUUCAUUUUAUUCGAUUCUCUUUUUCUUGUUCAAUAUUUUUGUUAUUUCCUGGUAUCCCCUCUAUGGAAUGGAUGCUGAUCGUAGUUGUAUGAGUUGAUUUUACAGCAAUUUAGUUCAAUGAAGAAAAUUCUGACCAACCAUCUUGAACUAGCAAUGGAAGACUUUUGUCACAUAGGCUGAAUGCUGUCGGCAUCAUUACUUUCGAAUUAGAAAAUUUUUGGUCUGCCUAAUUUUUGGCUUCCUAAAAUCUUCAACUAAAAAAGGCUAAUAUUGUGAAUGUGAAGGACUACAACCUUGAAAUGUAUCUAGGGGGAGUUUUUCCUUUUUCUUUUCCCUAGCCCAUCUUCCAUUGAUUACAUCAUGUUGCUUCGACUAUUUGUAAGAAAUUGGUAGAUAAUUAGAAGUAUGUUGAUGUGUGUUGAAUGAGUCUGUCUUUUGUUUUAAAUAUGAGGACAUGAGGAGUCAAUUGUUAAUAUUUUGGCUAUCAGUAUUCUAGAACAUAAGAAAAUAUCAUUAUGUAUCGAAUUGCAUAAGGUCAACUACCAUGCUGCACAUAUUGCUUUAUACAUGGGUCAUAAGAAUUAAUUUAGGUAUCUGAGCUCAAUGAUGAUGUUGAUGUCAAUAGUCAAGGGUGUUCAGCCAUCUAAUCUCAAUUAUCAUGUAACACAUGCGAUUGUCACAAGGAAUGAAGACCUAUUCUCUAGGUGCAUGUACAUAACCUUGAGCUAGAAAUUACAAAUAUGGUAAGUUCAGAGGAGACGAUUGGCAUGUAUGUUUAAUGUGCAAGCAAAUUUUACUUCAAGUCUAGACAAAUUAGGAUUAGUUUUGGGGUUUCAAUUUUAUGCUUACGGACUGUAUUUUGACUGUUUAUAUGCGUAAUUUUGAAUUUUUUGACUAGAUUUAGAUUUUCGCUCACAAACUUUGAUUUCUUGGUUAGGGUUUUUUGCUCGUAGAGUUUUAUUUGAUUUUCAGAUUCAGAAUUUUUGGGCCAAGGUUUGAUCAGGCUUUGAUUUUUAGUUAGGGUUUUGAUUUUUGGUUUUAGUUUUUAAUUUUUGGUUAGCAUUUUUACUGUAUAUAUGUGUAUGCAGGUCUGGAUUAGUAGUUGAAUUGCAUAUAUUGUUGGCUA